rnacentral:rRNA from 1 species
UACGGAGGGAGCUAGCGUUGUUCGGAAUUACUGGGCGUAAAGAGCACGUAGGUGGCAAAGAUAGUCAGUGGUGAAAGGCCUGGGCUCAACCCAGGAACUGCCAUUGAUACUGCUUUGCUAGAGUCCGGGAGAGGAUAGCGGAAUUUCCAGUGUAGAGGUGAAAUUCGUAGAUAUUGGAAAGAACACCAGUUGCGAAGGCGGCUAUCUGGACCGGUACUGACACUGAGGUGCGAAAGCGUGGGGAGCGAAC